UUCCUGGUGGCGCAAUGGUAGCGCGUGACACUCCUAAUGUCAAGGUUGCAAGUUCGAGUCCUGCUCAGGAAA